rnacentral:lncRNA from 1 species
ACUUGUUAACCAGAUCAAGGGUCUGGUUAUUAGCAGCACUCUGCCGCUGCUUUAGAUCAUUAAAUUUACUCCCAAGGGCACUGUACUCUAAGUUAUGGACUUCAGUUGUUCCAAGAGCUUUUGAUUUCUGAAUUGAAGUACAGCAGAACUAUGCUGCCAGCAAACAGAAGGUAGUGCUAAAUCUACAAGUUAGUUCAGCAGCAUAUCAAAAGGAAAUAAUGUGAUUUCAACACAAAAGGCGCCCAAAAAACAAACAUUCAAUAUGAGCCCCAUUUAGAUAGGCUAAUUCAGUAAAAGAAAAUCAAGUAUACAACAUGUGGAUGCAACUUUACCAUACCGCUGGAAUGAAAUGCAGAUAGUGCAUGAACAGGAGACAAUGUUGUAUUGCAGGCAGAGAAUACCAGAAUGUCAGGUAUCGAAAAGUAUUGUCAAGGGUAUUAAUGUAGUCUAACCCUGUAAUACUUGAACACCACAACUACCCUAUCGUGAUACCAAUCUAUGAGUAAGGGUAGUUUUAGUAUCCUUGUACCAAUCUCACACUACAUAUGGCUCUUGAUAGUUAACACAUUACAUUAAUACACAACAAACAAUACAUUUAAUGAUCAGGCAUCUAUUUUGCAAAUCUAUGAUGCAGUUUGAAAAUCACUUGGCCGGCUCGCACAAAGCAUACAAGAUAGCUCUCCAAUUGAAAGCAUGCAGUAACCACACAAGAUUAAAAGUGCAUGAAUGUUAGGAAAAAGUAUAGCUUAUUUUGCUGUGUCAUAAACAAAAGAGUGAUCACCAACCUCAGUAGAUGGAGGUAAUAUGGCAUAUCACAACGGUUCUCUCCCACCUUCCAGUCUAUUCUCUCUUUGUUAAAUGGAAGUGAGUAAAAAUCAAUAGAUCAGAUGGAGUGCGCUGAAGCACAACAGGUCUGGUGGCUAGCCCUGAGUUGCCUUGAUCGUCAGUUAGAGGUGCCUUCUGAACAAACAAGACAACUUAUGUGCAUGGUGGUAGGAAGCAAGGGAGAAGGUGCCCGCCCAAGAAGAGAAGGCAAGGAUUCGGCAGAAUCGUCACUCUCACCUGUGGAUGAUCUGGAAUGAGGAACAAUAGGAUCUCCAAACAACAGAACAGAUCCUGGAGUCAGAUUUUUGAAGAAAUAGCGGAAGAAGUAGUGCUCUGGUGUUCAUCUGGCGCAGCCGUGAGGUUAUAGUAGGAUAGCUCAUGUUGCUACCUAUCAUGCAUUAGCUGUAAGAUAUCAUCCUAGGAACCUAUCUUUUCUUUUUGAUUAGUCUUCUGUCCCUGGCAGCAUGACGUUCUUGUCCACAUAUUGUAGCUGUAAACUCUUUCCACUUCGCUAAAAAGAAGUGAGUAUAUAAUUAGCUUAUAUGAAGCAUCAAUAGUCAGCUUAUUAGCAGCACAAGAUGAGCUGUGGCAUAACAGACUGCUUAAUUUAAAAUAUUUUUAUCCCUCCCAUCUAACCCGCAGCAUGUCAUGAACAAUUUAUAGAAGAAAAAACCUUUUGGUCUAAACAUAUACUACUGGACAACAGGGAAAGCUGUCCCUCCAAACUAGAAAGUAAUUAGAGCGAGAAGCUCCUAUGGAUUCACGAACUAUCAAAAGACAUUGACUCAAGCUAACCAGACAUAGUAUCCUCAGUCAAAAUUUAAGUAACAAACGUAACACAUCAAGUCACCAACACAUUACACAUCAUCUCACUUGCAAGAAAUCAAACGAAAAGGAACCAUCAGAUUCCAAAUGAGGGUAUACCUUUGGUCGGUGCCACCACAGCGGCGGCGCAACAGAGCUGGAGAGAGCCGCCGCUUCCUGUCAAGCUCACCAGUAUCGUCCAUAAUACGAA